rnacentral:rRNA from 1 species
GAUGAACGCUGGCGGCGUGCCUAAUACAUGCAAGUAGAACGCUGAAGGAAGGAGCUUGCUCUUUCCGGAUGAGUUGCGAACGGGUGAGUAACGCGUAGGUAACCUGCCUGGUAGCGGGGGAUAACUAUUGGAAACGAUAGCUAAUACCGCAUAACAGUAGAUGUUGCAUGAUAUCUACUUAAAAGGUGCAAUUGCACCACUACCAGAUGGACCUGCGUUGUAUUAGCUAGUUGGUGAGGUAACGGCUCACCAAGGCGACGAUACAUAGCCGACCUGAGAGGGUGAUCGGCCACACUGGGACUGAGACACGGCCCAGACUCCUACGGGAGGCAGCAGUAGGGAAUCUUCGGCAAUGGACGGAAGUCUGACCGAGCAACGCCGCGUGAGUGAAGAAGGUUUUCGGAUCGUAAAGCUCUGUUAUAAGAGAAGAACGAGUGUGAGAGUGGAAAGUUCACACUGUGACGGUAUCUUACCAGAAAGGGACGGCUAACUACGUG